rnacentral:rRNA from 1 species
GUGAGGAAUAUUGCGCAAUGGAGGCAACUCUGACGCAGCCAUGCCGCGUGCAGGAAGAAGGCGCUACGCGUUGUAAACUGCUUUUAACCGGGAAGAAACCCCAGGACGUGUCCUGGGUUGACGGUACCGGAGGAAUAAGCACCGGCUAACUUCGUGCCAGCAGUCGCGGUAAUACGAAGGGUGCAAGCGUUAUCCGGAUUCAUUGGGUUUAAAGGGUGCGUAGGCGGAGCGUUAAGUCAGUGGUGAAAUCCUGCAGCUUAACUGUAGACUUGCCAUUGAUACUGGCGCUCUUGAGUGCGCUUGAAGUGGGCGGAAUGUGCCGUGUAGCGGUGAAAUGCUUAGAUAUGGCACAGAACACCAAUUGCGAAGGCAGCUCACUAAGGCGAUACUGACGCUGAGGCACGAAAGCGUGGGGAUCGAACAGGAUUAGAUACCCCUGUAGUCC